AUUACGGGAGAGACUUGUAAAAAAGCGCCGAAGGAAUAAGCCAACAUUAAGCGGAUGUUGGUGAUGAUCUCAGGCAAAAGGACCGUAGU
rnacentral:ncRNA from 1 species